CUCAGGGCUGCACCUGCCGAGGGGUCAUCUCCGCCCGGCCUGUCGCUGCCCGGGGAGGCCGACACCCCCGGCCGGCCCUGUGCUCGGCCUCCCCGCGGCCGCGCCGGUCUCCGGGAGCGCUGGGCACCCGGGCUUCGGUUCGAGUGACUCCGAUGUACGCCUGCAGUUCCUGGAGUUCACACUCUGCUAUUGUGACAAUUCAAGGAGAAAGCUGGCAGCGAUGUAUGUUUAUUCAAGGGACUUGUGUACACAGCUCUGUACACACAGACCCAUUCCCACAAAGCGGAUGUGAGAUUACAGCUGUGGAUCUUGCGUGCUGCCUUGGCCAUGGAGCGCGUCUGGGAGCUUCCCCUUGGUCCUGGCAAUGGGCCCAGACUGGACCUAGGGAACCAUAGGAGGUAGUAGUUCAGUCUGUGUCCUCGUAGUAACUGGAAUUAACGUGUUUGAAACUAUUGUGAAAUCUUGCAGGAAUUGCUAUAAAUAGGGAUGGAUGGCUUGUAGAUUGAAAUAUAUUUUAAUCACAAAGUAGUGAUAGAGGGAAAUAACUAACACUUUAAGGGUGCCUAGCUUAGAGCUUUAUGUAAUCAAUUAUGCUGAGAAAAAACAGAACCUCAUUGAAUGCCAAGAUAAGAAAUUUUGCAGCACCUAGGUGUAAACUUGAGGAGACGAGAUAAUGAAGAUUUACAGCAAAAAGGGGGGAACCUGUCUGAUUUCAAUCGACUUGGCAGCUAGGGUUCCAGUCAAUUCAACAUAAUGAGUAAAAGGUUCGCUGUGACGAAGCUGAAGGAGCCUUCAUCCAAAGACCCCUUCUCAAGAUGGCACUGCACAGGCACAGCAGGGCGGGUCAAGGAGGAGACUAUGGAAAUGGUUACCUGGGACUCAUCUUAAUAAGAAGUGGGGAAAGGUUAUGAAUAUGUAUAGGUGUUCCUGGGGUCAUUAUGAAUAUGUAACACCUUACUGUAUUUAAACACAGCUCUUACUGUUAGAAGGUGCGCAUGAAUGGUGGAAUGAUCCCCUUUGCGACCGACGUCAAAUAAACAUACCUGCUUUAUAACCUU